CUUAUCUACAGACGUGCACAAUGAUUGUCAGUGUCGUCCGGUGGAUCGAAGCUUUCUGAUCUAAGAGUAGUGGCAAACACCAGUAGUCAAUAAUGUGGCGCUUGUCUGGUUGGACAGGCGAGAUAAAGCUCAUUACUCCGUCAUCUAUCAGAGAUAAGAUUACUCCCAGCGUCGCACUCAAGAGGGUUAAUCCACUAGGCAACCCACUUGAUUGAAUAUAUUUGGAAUUCAAAACAAAAACCCCUUUUGCAGAAAUCCUGCGCACGACCCUGCUUACAAUUGAAAUCGAACCCAAAAGUAUU